rnacentral:rRNA from 49 species
UUGACCUCGGAUCAGGUAGGAAUACCCGCUGAACUUAAGCAUAUCAAUAAGCGGAGGAAAAGAAACCAACAGGGAUUGCCCUAGUAACGGCGAGUGAAGCGGCAACAGCUCAAAUUUGAAAUCUGGCUCUCGGGCCCGAGUUGUAAUUUGUAGAGGAUACUUUUGAUGCGGUGCCUUCCGAGUUCCCUGGAACGGGACGCCAUAGAGGGUGAGAGCCCCGUCUGGUUGGAUGCCAAAUCUCUGUAAAGUUCCUUCAACGAGUCGAGUAGUUUGGGAAUGCUGCUCUAAAUGGGAGGUAUAUGUCUUCUAAAGCUAAAUACCGGCCAGAGACCGAUAGCGCACAAGUAGAGUGAUCGAAAGAUGAAAAGCACUUUGAAAAGAGAGUUAAAAAGUACGUGAAAUUGUUGAAAGGGAAGCGUUUAUGACCAGACUUGGGCUUGGUUAAUCAUCUGGGGUUCUCCCCAGUGCACUUUUCCAGUCCAGGCCAGCAUCAGUUUUCCCCGGGGGAUAAAGGCGGCGGGAAUGUGGCUCUCUUCGGGGAGUGUUAUAGCCCACCGUGUAAUACCCUGGGGGGGACUGAGGUUCGCGC